CGUACUGCUCAGUAACACGUGGAUAACCUGCCCUUAGGACUGGCAUAACCCCGGGAAACUGGGGAUAAUUCCGGAUAGUUCAUGGUAGCUGGAAUGCUCCAUGAUCGAAAGCUAUUGCGCCUAAGGAUGGGUCUGCGGUCUAUCAGGUAGUAGUGGGUGUAAUGUACCUACUAGCCGACGACGGAUACGGGUUGUGGGAGCAAGAGCCCGGAGAUGGAUUCUGAGACAUGAAUCCAGGCCCUACGGGGCGCAGCAGGCGCGAAAACUUUACAAUGCGGGAAACCGCGAUAAGGGGACAUCGAGUGCCAGCAUCUUAUGUUGGCUGUCCGCAUGUAUAAAUCACAUGUGUUAGCAAGGGCCGGGCAAGACCGGUGCCAGCCGCCGCGGUAACACCGGCGGCCCGAGUGGUGGCCACUAUUAUUGGGUCUAAAGGGUCCGUAGCCGGUUUGGUCAGUCUUCCGGGAAAUCUGACGGCUUAACCGUUAGGCUUUCGGGGGAUACUACCAGGCUUGGGACCGGGAGAGGUAAGAGGUACUACGGGGGUAGGAGUGAAAUCUUGUAAUCCUCGUGGGACCACCAGUGGCGAAGGCGUCUUACCAGAACGGGUCCGACGGUGAGGGACGAAAGCUGGGGGCACGAACCGGAUUAGAUACCCGGGUAGUCCCAGCCGUAAACUAUGCUCGCUAGGUGUCAGGGACGGUGCGACUGUUUCUGGUGCCGCAGGGAAGCCGUGAAGCGAGCCACCUGGGAAGUACGGUCGCAAGGCUGAAACUUAAAGGAAUUGGCGGGAAUCACUAGUG
rnacentral:rRNA from 1 species